rnacentral:rRNA from 1 species
AAUCAGUGUGUGUGUUAGUGGAAGCGUCUGGAAAGGCGCGCGAUACAGGGUGACAGCCCCGUACACAAAAAUGCACAUACUGUGAGCUCGAUGAGUAGGGCGGGACACGUGGUAUCCUGUCUGAAUAUGGGGGGACCAUCCUCCAAGGCUAAAUACUCCUGACUGACCGAUAGUGAACCAGUACCGUGAGGGAAAGGCGAAAAGAACCCCGGCGAGGGGAGUGAAAAAGAACCUGAAACCGUGUACGUACAAGCAGUGGGAGCACGCUUAGGCGUGUGACUGCGUACCUUUUGUAUAAUGGGUCAGCGACUUAUAUUCUGUAGCAAGGUUAACCGAAUAGGGGAGCCGAAGGGAAACCGAGUCUUAACUGGGCGUUAAGUUGCAGGGUAUAGACCCGAAACCCGGUGAUCUAGCCAUGGGCAGGUUGAAGGUUGGGUAACACUAACUGGAGGACCGAACCGACUAAUGUUGAAAAAUUAGCGGAUGACUUGUGGCUGGGGGUGAAAGGCCAAUCAAACCGGGAGAUAGCUGGUUCUCCCCGAAAGCUAUUUAGGUAGCGCCUCGUGAAUUCAUCUCCGGGGGUAGAGCACUGUUUCGGCAAGGGGGUCAUCCCGACUUACCAACCCGAUGCAAACUGCGAAUACCGGAGAAUGUUAUCACGGGAGACACACGGCGGGUGCUAACGUCCGUCGUGAAGAGGGAAACAACCCAGACCGCCAGCUAAGGUCCCAAAGUCAUGGUUAAGUGGGAAACGAUGUGGGAAGGCCCAGACAGCCAGGAUGUUGGCUUAGAAGCAGCCAUCAUUUAAAGAAAGCGUAAUAGCUCACUGGUCGAGUCGGCCUGCGCGGAAGAUGUAACGGGGCUAAACCAUGCACCGAAGCUGCGGCAGCGACGCUUAUGCGUUGUUGGGUAGGGGAGCGUUCUGUAAGCCUGUGAAGGUGUGCUGUGAGGCAUGCUGGAGGUAUCAGAAGUGCGAAUGCUGACAUAAGUAACGAUAAAGCGGGUGAAAAGCCCGCUCGCCGGAAGACCAAGGGUUCCUGUCCAACGUUAAUCGGGGCAGGGUGAGUCGACCCCUAAGGCGAGGCCGAAAGGCGUAGUCGAUGGGAAACAGGUUAAUAUUCCU